rnacentral:rRNA from 1 species
UACGUAGGGUGCAAGCGUUUAAUCGGAAUUACUGGGCGUAAAGCGUGCGCAGGCGGUGAUGUAAGACCGAUGUGAAAUCCCCGGGCUUAACCUGGGAACUGCAUUGGUGACUGCAUUGCUGGAGUAUGGCAGAGGGGGGGUGGAAUUCCACGUGUAGCAGUGAAAUGCGUAGAGAUGUGGAGGAACACCGAUGGCGAAGGCAGCCCCCUGGGCCAAUACUGACGCCUCAUGCACGAAAGCGUGGGGAGCGAAACAGG